rnacentral:rRNA from 1 species
AUUGAACGCUGGCGGCAGGCUUAACACAUGCAAGUCGAGCGAGCGGCGGACGGGUGCGUAAUGUCUGGGAAACUGCCUGAUGGAGGGGGAUAACUACUGGAAACGGUAGCUAAUACCGCAUACCAUCGGAUGUGCCCAGGUGGGAUUAGCUAGUCGGUGGGGUAAAGGCUCCCCAAGGCGACGAUCACUAGCUGGUCUGAGAGGAUGACCAGCCACACUGGAACUGAGACACGGCCCAGACGCCUACGGGAGGCAGCAGUGGGGAAGAUUGCACAAUGGGGGCAAUCCUGAUGCAGCCAUGCCGCGUGUAUGAAGAAGGCCUUCGGGUUGUAAAGUACUUUCAGCGGGGAGGCGUUACCCGCAGAAGAAGCACCGGCUAACUCCGUGCCAGCCGCCGCGGUAAUAC